ACACAUGUCAUUGUGAAUGACACUCUUUUUUCCCAAAUUUGACCAUUUUCACUUCUCAGUAAUUGAGUGGAAAAUUGGGUGCUCAUGGAUCUUUGGCCAUUUCAGGUUGGUGAUAUAAUGACAAGUACCAUUUAUGUUUGUUAGAUUAUAAUUUUUUUCUUUUUAUGAAAUUAUUAAUUUUGAGAUUGCGGGGCGGGUUGUAGUCUUUGGAGGUAGAAAAUAUAAACGGAGAAAAAAAGGUAAAGUGAGUGAUAGGAAGGCAUACGAUUGAGGUAAAAAUGGUAAGAAACGUACCUCAAUCUCUCUCAGUUGGCGGCAGCGGCAGAGGAGGAGGAGCAUCAUCGUCGUCUCAUGGUGCUGGAGCCUCGAUUAAUAUGGAUAGCCAAAUGCAAGUUGCUGAACAACUUGUUCUCGAUCUUCGUUACCCUGUUCGUCGUGAACGCGCUCUUUGAGAACUUUCGAAGGUUUAUUCUUCUCAUUUCAGUGGUUUACUUUCACGUUUCGCUUAAAUUGUUGAUUGAGACUUUAAUUUCACUUCGGUUAAAUGAUAGAGCAUGAUUUAUGAAUAAUUUGAUUCUGGAUUGUGGUUGAAGCUUCUUUUUAAUUGAGAGUUUAGGAGUUAGGGUUUCUCUUACCUCUUAGGCCUCAAGUUUAUGAAUAAUUUUUGAAUAAUUUUAUUCUGCAGAUUCGAGGUUUUGAUGACUAUUGCUUCUGAGUGUUGAGUUAUUAUUGGAUUUCGCUGAAAAUUUCGAUAAAAAUGACACUGACGACUUACUACUUUUGUUUUCCUUUUCCAGAAGAGGGAACUUUUCCAUGAUUUGGCGCCCUUGUUGUGCAACUCAUUUGGUACUUCCACUGUAUUCCUACAGGUACUUUGUAAAAUGUUUCAUUAUAAUUCUAGUUUUAUCUCAUCUAUCAUCUCUCUGAUUUUGCACUUGGCUACCCUUUAUCCUUUUAAUCUCAUCUCCCAUAUGCACAUGAAUGCUAAAGUACCACUUGACACUGAUGCUUCACACUGCACCAUUGAAAGUGAAGAAUAUAAGGAAGCAUUGAAUGACCUUCAUAACAAAGCUGUCUAGGUAACAUCUUAAUGAUCUUUUGAUUGGAAUUAUAGUUCUAGUUUUUUUUUAAGAAAAACAUUUGUAGAGUCUUAGGAUGAUAAAACAGGUUUGUGAAAUUUCUGGCUGGGGAGGGAGUGGGAGCUAGUCCCACGUUUCCAUGGGGUGCGUCCUUGUUGUAAUUUGUAGUCAGCUCAUAGCAAGGUUGAUUGUUUAAUAAUGGAAACUAGACAAUGUAUGUCAUUUUCAUUGUAUAUGUUGGGUUGCUUUAUAACAUAAAUGGAAUCAAAUCAUUUGGAGUAAAAUUUGGAAAUAAAUAUACAGGGAAAGUCUCAAAAUGGAAUCCUGAUGUGUUUUUUCAUAUUUGUUGGUUGUAGAUGUAGAUGGAACAGAUGAUGGAACCAAAAUCUCACUUCGAGAAAACAUUAACCCAAAAAAGAAAAAAGAAAAAUCACCACUAUGAGGAGAAACUAUUCUGUUAUUUAAAUCUAAUAUCAGCAUAAUGUUUUUAUACCUUGGCCCAACUUAUAUGGUAAAAAAAAGCUACUAUAUCAGAGCCAAUAUUUAAGUGAGGUAAGGUUAGUUUUUUUCCACUUAUUUUGGUAAUGGUGGAUCAGUUGUUGAUUGGGCUAUAGACGUGAAGGUUGUUUGGCCUUUGUUGGUUCUAUUGCGGUUCUAGAUCUAGAGAUUUGGUUUUAUUAGCUAUUUUUGAGUUUGAAAUUCUGGGAAUUGUCUCCUGGUUUGCUAAUAUUCUAGCAUAUUCUAUCCAUCUUUAUAUAGCCUGAUUUUAGAAUUAGUCCUAUUUUGGAUUCAUUCUUUCAAUUUUACUAGUUCAUCGCUCACUAGUGGUCAUAGUAUACAUGUUGAGAGGUCAUGGGCUUUCCUUUAAAGUUCGUUGGUUUCAUUGCCUGGUGAAAGUUUAUCUUGGUAUUGGUAUGGUAUUGGAUACUCCAUUCUUACCGUGAUAUGGUUCAUGUUUUGGUGAAAUUAAGAGAGGUGUGGAUAGCUGAUCUUUUAAAUCGACCAUCACAAGUUGCCAAUUUGAUGAUUUGCAAUUACCUUUUAAGCUUGAAUUAUCAUGUUUUUCCAUUGAUUUGAUGUUAAUAUCAUACUUAAUGACCAUUUUUGUAGGCAAAAGAGAAAGGGAUAAUGAUCAAGUCAUUCAAGUCAACAAGAGGCCAAAUGUGAAAGAAAAGAGUCAUUCAAGUAGAAGGUGGAGUACUGGCGUCGUCUUCAACGAAAAUUGAGAUGGAAAAUGAUUUUGAUGACAGCCGAAUGUACCAAUUGGAUGCUUGUUAAGAAUAGUAGGAGUAAAAAGAGUUUUUCCGUGCUUCGUUUUACUGUCAUUUUGUCUUAUUAUUUCGAUGGACUUCUCGGGCAUGGUUUUGUGUAAUUCGAUUGUGGAUUACGGUGGAAUUUCUGUAUAAUUGAGGGUUUAGGACUUAGGGUUUCUUCUGCAUCCUAGGGCUAAAAUUUGAGAAUAGUAGAAGAAUGCAUAUUCGAGAUUUUGAUGCUAUCU
rnacentral:lncRNA from 1 species